UACGGAGGGUGCGAGCGUUAAUCGGAAUUACUGGGCGUAAAGCGCGCGUAGGCGGUUCGAUUAGUCGGAUGUGAAAGCCCCGGGCUUAACCUGGGAACUGCAUUCGAAACUGUCGGGCUAGAGUAUGGUAGAGGGUAGUGGAAUUCCCGGUGUAGCGGUGAAAUGCGUAGAUAUCGGAAGGAACAUCGGUGGCGAAGGCAGCCAUCUGGGACAACACUGACGCUGAAGCACGAAAGCGUGGGGAGCAAACAGG
rnacentral:rRNA from 1 species